rnacentral:rRNA from 1 species
CCUACGGGUGGCAGCAGUGAGGAAUAUUGGUCAAUGGGCGCGAGCCUGAACCAGCCAAGUCGCGUGAGGGAAGACGGUCCUAUGGAUUGUAAACCUCUUUUGUCGGGGAGCAAAAGACGCCACGCGUGGCGUUCCGAGAGUACCCGAAGAAAAAGCAUCGGCUAACUCCGUGCCAGCAGCCGCGGUAAUACGGAGGAUGCGAGCGUUAUCCGGAUUUAUUGGGUUUAAAGGGUGCGCAGGCGGAAGGUCAAGUCAGCGGUAAAAUUGCGAGGCCCAACCUCUUCGAGCCGUUGAAACUGGUUGUCUUGAGUGAGUGAGAAGUAUGCGGAAUGCGUGGUGUAGCGGUGAAAUGCAUAGAUAUCACGCAGAACUCCGAUUGCGAAGGCAGCAUACCGGCGCUCAACUGACGCUCAUGCACGAAAGUGUGGGUAUCGAACAGGAUUAGAUACCCCAGUAGUC